AUACAUUGCAAGAAUGUUUUACGUCGUUUAGACGACUCAAAAGAAAGACUUGAAGAGGAAUUCCUCGACAUAUGCUAAUACUUGAAUAUCGACAUGAAUGUAAACUUCACAUUUUCUGUCAGGGCUUUUGAGUUGAUGACCACGUUUUAAGUAGAAUAUAAAAAUGCAACAUCAGUAUAUGACAUAGAUUUAUGCAUUGCAUAUACAGAAAUCUCGUUAUGGAGCAUGCCAGUUGUUAGGAACAUGAUUGAUAACAUAACAUGCGAUGGAUCAGUUGUAAGUUACAGACUUUAUUUAAAACCCAAUGCAACCGGGAAAAGAGAGCUUUGUUACGAAAAUACCGUCCUACAGCAGGUAGCAGUAGGGAAUGUUAAUGACCGAAGAAGAAGAGAACUUUGUUGCGAAAUUUUACCUAUCACAAACUUAACCACAACAGAACAGAACAUAGAAACUACAACAUCCCAUUUUAUCUCAAAAUAUACGGAAAUACCAGCUUCUUCAACUUUGGAAUUACCUUCUGAAAUGU